AGGUGUGCAUCCACACAAUUGUCAACACAUGUUUGACCAGAAACAAACAAGUGGAGUGACCUAAGCCUUUGGUACAGCGAAGAAGGCUCUGGAGUCAGGAUGCUUGGAGGGAAGUUUCUGCAAGUUACAUGUCAGCUUUGGAGGAAAUGCAGUCUCCUUUUCACUGCAAAGAAGCUCCUUCCUCAAGGGGAAAGAGACAAUUAGGUUUCAGACUUGGUUAUGGACUGAAUGUUUGUGUCUCCCUAAAUUCAUAUGUCGAAGUCCUAACACUAAUUGAUCGUGUUAGGAGAUGGGACCUUUGGAUGUGACUAGAUGUAGAUGAGAUCAUGAGGGUUGAGGCCCCAUGAUGAGAUUAAUGCCCUUAUAAGAAGAGAAAGAGAGACCAGAGUUCUCUUUCUAUCAUAUGAGGAUACAGUGAGAAGGUGGCCAUCUGCAAGCCAGGAAGAGAGCCCUCACCAGUAAUUGAAUCUACUGGAACCUUGGUCUCAGACUUCCCAGCCUCUGGAACUAUG
rnacentral:lncRNA from 1 species